CCAUAUCGAUCCAAAAACCAGAUUUCUGUGAUGAAUAAUAUAUGCGUAUAUUAAACUUUUUUACUCCUCCAAAUUACAGAAAUAUACAUUAAAAAAAAGAUAUAAUCAGAUUAAACCUUCAAUAUUUAGGGCAUCCCUAAAUGCAUACAAAAUCUAAAAAGAAAAAAAAAAUCUUAAAAUCAGUAAACGUAAUUUCAUGCUCCUGCAAAUUUCAUAAUCUUCAUGCUCCUGCAAAUUUCAGAAAAAAAACUCCAUCUUCUUGCUCCUGCAAUUACAGAGAAAAACCCCAAAAACCCCAUUUCAUUUUCUCUCUCUAACAUAUUCAAUUUCUCUCACAGAGAAAACCCCUUUUCAAUUUCUAUUUCAUUUUCUCUGUCUAACAAAAGACCCCCUUUCAAUUUCUCCCCCAGAUAAAACCCCCUUUCAAUUUCUCUCUCUAACAUAGAAACCCCCUCUCUUUCUAACAUAGAAAUCCCCUUUCAUUUUCUAAUCCUUUCAGGUCCAGCCCAUCCUCUCCAGCCCAUCCUCCCCUUUCAGCUCCAGGCAUCUCCCUGCUUUCAAUGGAGCAGCUAUUCAGCUCCAGGCCUCUUUCUGUUCUCAAUGAAACAGAGAUUACCCAUACUCUCCCUUUCAGCUCCAGCCCAUCCUUCCCUUUCAGCUCCGGGCCUCUCCCUGUUUUGAAGGAAGCAGAGAUUACCCGUAGUCUUUAGGCGUCUCCCUAUUUUCAGCGAUAUUUGUUUUAAAUGAAAACAAGAAUAUAAAACCUUAUUUUUAACCAUAGUUAUAAAAUGACUAAACCAUGGUUAGAGCAUUUAAUGAACAAAAAAAAAUUUGUGCUUUUUUGGGUAUGUUGAUAUUUGCUAAACCAUUUAAGUAGAUUUGGG
rnacentral:lncRNA from 1 species